ACUCCUACGGGAGGCAGCAGUGGGGAAUAUUGGGCAAUGGGCGCAAGCCUGACCCAGCGACGCCGCGUGGGGGAAGAAGUCUUUCGGGACGUAAACCCAUGUUGUACGGGACGAAGGAAGUGACGGUACCGUACGAGGAAGCCCCGGCAAACUACGUGCCAGCAGCCGCGGUAAUA
rnacentral:rRNA from 1 species